rnacentral:rRNA from 1 species
CACGUAGGGGGCGAGCGUUGUCCGGAUUUAUUGGGCGUAAAGAGCUCGUAGGCGGUUUCGUAAGUCGGAUGUGAAAACUCCAGGCUCAACUUGGAGACGCCAUUCGAUACUGCGAUGACUUGAGUCCGGUAGGGGAGUGUGGAAUUCCUGGUGUAGCGGUGAAAUGCGCAGAUAUCAGGAGGAACACCAAUGGCGAAGGCAGCUCGCUGGGACGUGACUGACGCUGAGACGCGAAAGCGUGGGGAGCAAACAGG